CCACUUGUGAGCAUGUAUUCAUUUUCAUGUGAAAAUUUACUAGGCUACAUUUUCAGCAGGGAUAUGUGCAUAUAUUUCUGUUUGCAGAAGAAAUUGUUGCAUAUCACCCUUCAUGCUGAAAAUAUACCCUAGACUUCAUAGGGCAAAACAGCUGGUUACCAGUGGUGACUAAGUGUAACUUGACUGGAAUAUCUUCAUUCAUUUGGAUCAUAAGAAGAGGAGGUAAGGUUCCUGUGAACUUGGCAAUUUCAUUUGCCAUUAAACACCGAGAGAUUGUAAUGGUUAGUGAUUCCAGAGCCUCUCUUAUAAACACUUAGAUUAUAGGAUGUGCAUUUCUCCUUAGAAUGAAGUCUGGGUAUUUCCAUUUGCAUCUGGAUUUAGAUGAUUUAGGGACAAAAUUACCUACAUGUGAUAAGUUGAACUCUUCCUAAUGACUAUUCUUAUUCUUCUCUUAUUUCAUCUUUAUCUCAAGACAUUAUCUUUAAUUCAGCAAAUCAAGUAUUUCCCUAGAAAGCUAUGUAUUAAAACUCUCUAUGAAAAGUUAAAAUAAAACAUAGAGUUGCCUAAACUGAGAAGUUUUGAGUCACUGUUUGGAAUUUCACUCCCUCGCUAAUAUUGUAUGUGAAAUCUGCUGUGCAACAUUUGAAAAUGAAAUUAUGUUUCCUGGAUUUCUGUGAUAAUUUUUGAAUUCUUACUAGAGUAAGAUUAUUCUGUAUCCAUAAGGAUUAAUAUUACUUAUCCUUUAACAAAAUUAGAAUUGCCCCUAAAGAAUGCUGUUUUAGCUACAGCAACAUUGAAAUUUUUAAAUAAAUGUCUCGUUUGGUAGAAGGCAAAAAUGGUCUAAAAUUUAUUGGUCCAUUUUUUAACCAAAUACUUUCAUCUAAAUCAAGGGUUGGCCAAAUCUGCCCCACUGUCUGUUUUUGUAAAUAAAAUUUUCUUUGAAACACAGCCAUGUUCAUUCAUUUAUGUACUAUCAUCUGUGGCUGCUUUUGUACUUCAGUGGUAGAGUUGAGUAGUUGUGAGAAAGACUGGAUGGCUCACAAAGCCUAAAAUAUUUACUAUCUUGUCCUUUACAGAAAAAGUUUGCCAACAUCUGAUCUAAAAGAUAAAGUGCAGAAUCUGGCUGCUCUAAACAUUCUGGUUUUGAAUGAAGUCAUUUUCACUUUACUCUUUUGGGAGGUAUAUCGAAUUCCAAAGAAAAGUCAAACUGAAAAGGAAAACACAACAACUGAACGAGGAAGGGAUGCUGUUGGCUUCAGAGAUCAAACACCUGCCCCGAAGACUCCUAAUAGGUCAAGAGAGAGAGACCCAGACAAGC
rnacentral:lncRNA from 1 species